GCUUAUCUUUUGCCACAAUUGCAAGGACUUGAUCUUAAAUGCAUGUGUUUCUUCAAUGACAACCAUGAUCGUGAAGAUGGGGGCCAAAAGAUUCACUACUAUUUUGGCGAAGCCAAAAAAUUAUUCACAUUUAUGAAAGGAACCAGAAGGUUCAAACGUACAAGUUCAAUUGAUGGAUGUAGAACUGAGUUUCCCAGGAUUAUCAUCCAAUAAAAACACAAAAGCCAGAACUCUCAACUCAGAUAGCAGCAAUGAAAACCAAAAAAAAAGAAAAAGAAAAAGAGAUCUCAUGCCUGUCCCAAGAACUUUGCAGCUCUCUGAAGAGCAUAAAUUUGCACCUAUCAAUACACCUAAGCAUCAGCUCCCAAUUCUAAUAGUAAAGUGUGGCUAAUGGCAUCUGAUCCUGGGCCCAUGAAUUGGAUGGGACCUGAGAUUGAAUCAAUAGAGUUAAAACACAAUAGAUAAUCUUGGAGCGCAUGCUUUACAAAGAACUUGGUGUAAUAGAACUGGUAUCAUAAAAGCAAGCCAAUUAAAGGCUACUGCUUGAUAAAUUUAUGACUUACCAGGACUGAUGUACCGAUUCUUAAGUGCCCACUCAUCCCUCAGGGAUGCAAAUUUUUUGAAAGGUGCACCUGAAAUUUCAUCGAGAUCGUCAAAUUUGCUGAACAUAUUUCUAGGUUAUAUCCAAAUUAGUGAUCAGUGCAAGCAACACAUGCUAUUAAUUAUUAUACUCUUCAGAACAAAGCAGAAGCUCUUUAUAAUGAAUGAAACAGAGGCCAAAGUUACUAUCAUUAUUGAGAUGGAAUUACACAUUAAAUAAAAAAGAGCAAAAGAGGAUGCUUAAGAAAGAAUUUAUACCUUCAAGCUCUACCAUCGCCUUCUUGAUCACAGGCUUGAAUUUACCUGGAAAAGAAUAAAAUACAUUUGAAUUUAAAAAACCGUUUUUGUUGUGAGAGACAGAGAACUCAGGAAAUGUCCCUAGACUAGUCCACAAAAAGUUCUCAGAACCUUUUGAAGCUUAAAUUAGAUCCAUAAUACAUCAUCCUAAUGCAGCAUGCUCUAACCCACAACAUAUUUUGUAUCUUCAAACCAGGAAGUGAAUGUGUCUUGUCAUCAAUAAGGCUGUGCAAAACAUGCUAAAGAAAGAGAGAAUACCAUGUCUCCUUUCCACAUCCAUCAAAGAAGUCAAUGCCGUCCCUCCAACUGUCCAUUCUGCAACAGGAGCACCCAAAUUCCCAACCUGGAGACAUAACAUUAUCAAAUUAAGAUACUUAAUCAGUAGUGCCAAAACUUUGAUGUUACAAGAAGUCAAGAAUAGCACAACCUUUUAGUAGUCUUAUACCACUCAGAAAAAGGCAAAUACAGCCAGAAGGAUAGAAUCACUCACUGAUGAUAUCAACCCAGUUUUUCCAAUGUGAAGGAGAGCUCCUGCACCAUAGCCCAAAGCAUAGCAGUAUGUAGAAUCAAAGUUUGUAGGCAAACCACAUCUUCCUUCAUACCUGGGCAGGGCAAACCAUGUAUCAGAAAACCUAUAACAAAUCACGCACUAAUCUUUCCAUUACACUCCAGGAUAGGAACAAUGUCAAAUGUCUUUUCAAACAGAUCAUGUAAUAUUGGACAGAGGAAAUAGUGCCUCAUAAUAGAGAUGUGAUUUUUAGUUAAUAGUUAUAAUUACCCGAAGAAGUGGGACUGUCCUUUGAAAUGGCCUUUGUAUGAACCUUCUUGCUUCCUCUUCUCCAACUCAGUCUCAACCAUUUGAAUAAGCAUUUUCUCGGUCUCAAUUUUGGCAACCUGAAGGUAAAAGCAGAGUUAUGAAUAAUGAUGCCACCUUAAUUACAAUGGUUGAAAUCAGACAUAAAAUGGUAUACAUAAUAAAUACCUGGACAUUUCCAUGUGGAUCUCUUUCAAGCAUCAAUUGUUCUUGAAUUGCUGGUGGUAAAAAUUCGAAAAGCUGCAGAGAUUGAUUUGUGAGUUUCUUUUUCCAUUGCCCACCUUCAUCUACGACAUCAUGGGCCAAAACCUCAUUCAGUUCUGCUAUAAGGUGCUGAACCUGAAAAGAAACAUCCAAUAAACAUGAUAAAUUGAAUGGGGAUAGCUGUAGAAUCAAAAUGAACAUUGCGUUCAAAUAAAGAGAAAAAUUGACAUUGCCACUAUAGUUAGAAAAAGGUAAACAUCCAAUAAACAUGAUUAAUUGAACGGGGAUUGCUGUAGAAUCACAAUGAACAUUGCGUUCAAAUAAAGGAAAAAAUUGACAUUGCCACUAAAGUUACAGAAACGUAACUUACCUCAGGAAUGAAAUCAAUUAAACCUUCAGGAAUAAGAAUCACACCAUAAUUAUAUCCAAGACCAGAACGUUUACAGAUUACAUUUACGAUGUAAUCUGUAACAUUUUUCAGCGUCAGUUUCUUAGCAGCAACCUGCAACAAGAUGAAAGAGGGUAAGAGAACGUAUAUGGGAAGCUUUUCUACAAUGAACAUAACUGAACAGUAGAAAUUACAAAAAUGAUAUGGCCCAAGAGCUUUCCUACACACAAUGUCAACUUUCCCAGAUCAGCUUGAGCAUUAAUUACAAAAGAGUUAAGCCAGGGAAUUACUUUGGAAGAGUCAACUAACAAAAAAUGGGGAUCAUAAUUAGAUGCAACAAAGGAGGAAAACAAGGUACUUCAAACUUGACAAAGUCCAAAGCAGUCACCAACAAUGGAACCAAGUUUUUUUUCCACAGAGAUGCACAACACAUGAUAUACUGAUAAAUUACCAGUUAACAAACUCAACUGGUCAAAUAUUCAAAACUAAAGAAGCAUAUUAAAAGAAGCACCUCUUCUCCAAUGAUGGCGAUGUUUGGAUGAGUUUGCAAGGCACACUCCAAUGUAAUGUGAGAAGCUGCACGUCCCAUAAGCCGGACAACUGCAGGAAACACAGAUUAUGAGCAAGCAUUACUUGUAUAAUCAGUAAUGUGUAUAACAUGCUUGAGCACAUUUGAGCAAGUAUGGAAAAAGCAAAUUCCUGAUAGCCUAUUGCAAUUAAGACAGGAUCAGUUCUCAGUGGUGUAGUUGCAAAGAAAAUAAAGAUAUCUGGAUAACAAUUAUAAUGGAACUACAGGGAAAAUAGAGAAGUUAGUGGCAGUUCAUGUUCUAGUGCUUGUUGAGGGAAAAUGAUAGCAUGAUUUAAAUAGCCAUCUGCACAAUUCUAUAUCUGAGGACACUCAUCAAAUGCAAUUAGCUAAUAUUAGUAUUUAUCUUCACUAUGGAUUCAUUAAACAGAUAAUAGGAAUUUAUUUGAAAAAGAAAAUCAAUGUACAAACUUACAGUGAUAAUAUUUUCCAGUUGAUCGAGCAUCAACCAUGACAUUUCCAAUCAUUUCUGCAUAUAUCUGCAUGAACCACAUAUAUUAUUAACAUUCUAUUGUGUGAAGCUGGUAACAAAAAGGAUAUCAAACUAUUAAUGGAAUUAGGAUUAGUUGCAACCUCAUCCCAUUAUAACAAUAUUGAUAACACAGGCAAGAUAAGGUGACAAUACAUGCUAUAGAAUCGUAAAUGUCCAAAAAUUGUUAAACAGAAAUGCAAAUUGCAUACAAGCAAUAAUAUGGCAACCAAUUCAGUAGGGUCCAGCAUAAUACUGUCAGUAGUAUUGCCUUUCACAAUUAAAUGUGCGGAAAAGAUGUCAAUGAAAUGGGGCAACUCAAGCAUGGUGGGCAAGGCAGGUGUCAAUGGAAAGUGCAAAGACUAUCCCUGCACACACACACACAGGCACAUAUUUGUGUGUAAAUAUAUAUUGCACAAAAAUGUGUGCAUACUGUAUGGUUACAUACAAUUUAAGACCAUGAGUAGCAAAAUUGAGAUUCUACAAAAUCCAGAAUUAAAGGGUCAAGCUUUGGGAAAUUUGCAUUAGUGUAAUGAAAGUUGUGAUAUAUUAACAUUUUUAGGAGAGUUAAUUAAAUGAAAUAUCUAAGGUUAAAAGUAACAAGUUUUCAUGAAACGUUGAACUAGUGUUGCUCAAUCAUAUUCGUAAUCUGUAAGGUUUUAUAUACAGAGAUAAGAUGCCAUGCUUCGAACAAGGAAUUUCCAUCCAACCACAUACAAUUUUCAAGCAAAUUUUAAUGAAAGACUACAAUCAAGUAAUUCCAACAACUAGAUUCAUAAUGCACAACAUAAGGAAAAUGUGAUAUCUCAGCAUUUUGAUUCAAAUAGGAAAGAAUAUUUAUACUCACCUUGCAAGCAGUAUCAAAUCCAAAACUGGUAGGAACCUCCUUGCAUUUCAAAUCACCAUCAAAAGAAGUAACAACCAAAUCAGAAAUCACGUUCCGCUUAAGAAACAUAUGCACAUUCAAUAACUAAAGAAAACAAUGUUUAAGACAACUUUCACAUAGUACACACCCUUCAAAUUGCAUUGAUCAUUUAAUCUACCAAACAUUACAACCUAUUUAAUAAUUCAACAUCUAAACCAACUACUCCUCUUCAUAUAACAAUUAUCCAUGCACACACCCAAAGAAAUUCGACCACAAAAAUCAACAACCUUACUUACUAACUCAAAACAAUCCCACGUUCAAAUAAAAACAUAAAAAACCACAACUUUACCUGGUUUCUGUAAGGAUAGAUAUAAUCAGCAUUCAAUUCAACAUAUUUGCACUUCAUGAUCCCAGCCGGACCUCCCCUAAAUCCAUACAACACACUUCCUUUCGCCCGAUCCUCCAAAUAAUCUACACCGCCACCACAACCAACCAAUCACAAACCACAAACCAUACACAACAAUAUCAACUCAUAAAAACAACAAUCAGAACCAUCUAGGUGGUGACUCAGUGGUAAGAGCUUGGGACCAAGAGGUUUGCUCUCUCUGUGGUCUCAGGUUCGAGUCUUGUGGUUGCUCAUAUGAUGGUCACUGGAGGUUUACAUGAUCGUUAACUUCAGGGCCCGUGGGAUUAGUCGAGGUACGCGCAAGCUGGCCUGGACACCCAAGUUAAACUAAAAAAAAAACAAUCAGACCCAUUAACAUGGCUUACCGUAGAUUCCAGAAAUAACAUUAUAGCCACCAGGUGUAGUAUAUAUAUUAGAUAGAUGACCCUUGCUAUAUCGUGGAUGGUCUAUUUUUUUAGAAAAGCGAAAAAAAAACCUUCAUGCUAAACUUAGAAUUUAAAAAAAUUUAGAAAAUUUGGUUAUUCAGUCAACCGAGUUUAAUAACUUCAACUAAUCUAAUAAUGCUUUUAAAAAAAUAACAAUAAAUAAACUAAAUUAAUAAAAAAUUAACAUACAGGAUAUAAAAAAAGUGAUAAUAGAAAAAGAUUCGAAUCAACUCAGGUUAACCUAUCGAAUCUGUAACUCUGGACAUAAAAUUGAGAUAAUCUCAAAGAAAGAAAAGUAAAAAAAAUAAUAGAGACUAAUUCAUAACCAACCAAAUGUUAGAAAACAAAAUUUUAAAAAAAUACUCUAAAAAAAUAAAAGUUCACUAAAGCUAACUUUCUAAAUUCAUAACCCCGGUUAUGAGACUGAUAACACAUUAUAGAAGACAAAUCUAUAAUUAAUUUGGAAUCUGAUGCAAUAAGGAUUCAACCCAUUGAUCAAAACACGUUUCCUAAUAAUUAAUUUGGGAGCUAAAUUUGAUAAUUUAGGCUAUUUGGUUUUGGACUGUAUUUUUAGGUUUGGUUUAUAUAUAUAUAUAUAUAUAUAUAAACAAUAACUAGGUUUAUCAACAUUUAAAUUAAUCUAAAAACUAAAAUGCAUUGGUGAAUAUUGUGCAGCUGAAACUAUUUACCCCUAAUAAAAAACUGUGAAUAACCCUGUUUAUUUUUUUUAAAAUUCAUUUUGGUCCUUAAAAAUUUAUUUUGGGAGAUUUGAUCUUGAUUGAAGGCCAAUUAAUUUAGAUUUCUUAGAAAAUAUUGGAAUUGAAAGAAUAGAAACCAAAAUUAAAAACACACCAAACAUGAAUAGUGUGCCAGAAGUUUCACGACAGAUAUACUUUGGUUAUCUAACUUUAAAAAUAACAUAAAUUAUAUGAUUUCGGUGUCUCAGUUUUUUUCAAAUUCAAUUUUGAUAUAAAAAAUUUAUUUUUAUUAUUUCUUAGUUCUUGGUUGAGAAAGGAGAGAGAAAAGUCAUUAUAUUCCAGCAAUAGUGAGAGAAAAAUAUCAUUGACACAGAUUUAGACCACUAAAAUAAUCGAUGUUUGUGUCAAAUGGUUUCAUUUGAUGAGAGAAGUUUAUAUUAGGUUUUUUUACCCUUAAAGUUCAUGAAAAAAAAACAUCUAAGAUUGGUUUGAUUUUUGGUUUUGGGUUGAUUUUGGUUUUUAGGAUAAGUUUUUGGUUUUUUGAGGCCAUAGAUAAGUUUAUCACGAUUUCUAAGGUGUUUUGGGUUGAAAAACGAGUUUUGGGUCAAAAAUAUUUAAGCCUUGAUUCUUUGGCCACUACAGUGUCUGGAAUCUAGGAAAAUUAGACGAUGCAUUGUUUGAUUAUUUUUCAAAAAAAUUUGAUGUUUUUUGCCUGGUUGCGCGGGCCCUGACGAAAUGGGCCAGGCCCAACAAUGCCUAACCUUUGUUUUUUUUUUUUCUAAUUUUUUUUAAAUUAAUGCUUUUUUAUAUGUUUUUUUUUCUCUAUUUUUUAUUUAUAUUUAGAUUAAUACCCAUUCUCUCAUUCAUUUUGUUUAAAGAGCCUCUUUUAAAUAAUAAUUAUUUUUUUGUUAUGCAUUUAAAUUUUAAAGAGUUUUUCUGAUUCAUAUAUAAUUUUUAAUCUAUUGUAUAGACAACAAUUAUUUUUGAAGAUGAAAAAAUUUAUUUUGAGAUAAUAUUUAUAAUAUGUGCAACAUUGCAUAGUGUUUUUGUUUUCUAUUUUAUUUUAUUCAAUCAAUUUAAUUUGUGUCUCUAUUUCUAUUAUCGUUUGCAUGAAUAAAAAAUUAUUUUAAUAAAUAAAUUUAGCAUACACAACUAGAUAAAUGUCUUGGCUUGCGAGAUUAAAUAUUUUGAUCCAUAUCUGUCUCUUAAUUUUUCUAUUUCUAUUUUUAGUUAUUGUUUUUUUUUUCAAUUAUUAACACACAUAGUUCUUGAUAUAUUUAAUUACAUGUAUGCAUAAACUUUUUGAUUUUCACUUAAUUGUUUAUAACUACAAAAAUAUGUUAAAAAAGGUUGUGUAUAUAUUUUUUUUAUUUGAAAAAUAAAUAUCUAAUCCAUGACGAAGCAUGAGUCAAAUAUCUAGUUAUAUGUAAAAACUUAAAAAUAAGGAUUUUGAACUUGAUUUAAAAAAAAUAUCUAUACGUUAAAACCUAUUCAUCUAAAUUUGGUUAGUGGUGGGUGUUUAUCGGGUUCAAGUUGUAAGACCCAAACUUUUAGCUCAAACCUAAGCCCAAGUCAGCCCAAACCCAACCUAAGUUAACCUAGGUAUUUAAGGAAGAGUUGCAAGAGAAUUACUUUUCUCUCUUCUAAUUUUUGUAACCGCCGUGACCCUCCCCUUCUCAAACCUAAGAUUUUAGUUUUUGAUCUUGAGUUUUCGGUUCAUGAAAGGUGGAAGUAGCAAGUAAGUGGUUCUCUUUCAUAUUACUUUCGAUUAUAGUUUGUUUAUGGAAUGAUUAAAGAAGAGAUUAGGGUGUUCUGAGACUUAGCGUAGGUAGGGUGUCCUUUCGACACCACUCCUGUGUUGCCGGUCAUGGACCCGGGAUUCGGGUCGUGACACAAGUCAAGUCAUCAUCCUUGCUAGUAUAUAAUUUAAUUUAUUUAGGUGGAAUGAUGAAUUUUAGCUUUAGUUUUUUGAUAUUUAUUUUUCACAUAACAUAUCAAAAUAAUAAAAAAACACUAAAAAAAUUUAAUUCAUAGCUAAAAUUUCAAAAUUGGAGGUUCAGUCUUGCAAAGUAAGAGAAUAGUGGUAUGUUCAUAUUUAUUGUAAUGCUACAACCAACAUUACUAUCAAAAUCUCAGUCAGAAUAGUUAAAAAAUAAUUCAACAUUGGAGGUUGAAUUAUUCAGUGCUAGGUGGUUUUUACAGAUCCCACUCAUGGAGUUGAUGCUUGAACUAUCAUUACUAUAUAUUUGAAUAGAACUUGUAAACAAACUAUUCACUUGGAAAUGACUCUUGAAGUUUCAAUGCACCAAUGUUGUAGAUGUUUAGGGUUCAGAAUUGCUAGCCAAGUUUAGAUAACUAGAUUCAUCAUUUUGCAUAUUGAACUGACCAAGUUUCAAGAAAAAUGUUCUGUCCCUCUUGAAUAAGAGAAGAGGGGACCAGUGUCAAGAACUCUGUGGUUAGAUUAACACCCAUUUUACAAGAAUUGCUGGCUUUCUUUGUUACUUAAUGCACAUAUCAGAACAUUGCAUUAUUUGGAAUUCUUACAAUGUACAAACCAAGAACUCAUCACAUCAUUCUUAUAGACAUCAUACUUAUAAUCAUCCAUGGUGGUAGUUGCUUACAGAUUGGACCAAAUGACCAAUACUUGUGCCAACCUUUACGUACACAGCCAGGCAUCAGAUUUCAGAAAAUGGAAAGGAUUUAGUGUAGGAUAAUUACGUGUCGGAUAUGUCAUGGAAAGUGGGUAUCAGUGGUUUCGACUCGACAACAUUUGAAAGAGAUCCAAGGUAUAGCUGGAAUAUGUUUAAUGAAGGGAAUUUUCAGGAGCAAGUUGUAAGUUUUUGAUAGUGAUGGAUAAAGAGGGAAAUAAGAUAGUGCAAAGAUGCCAACUGGGAUAAAGGAGACUGCAUAUAGAGUAAUUUUUGUCCAGCUUUCCUUGCUGUAAAUCAUCAGAAUGAUUGUUGCUCCAAACGCUACCAUCAUCAUUGCCACAGAGAGAAACAGAAAUGUGAAGCCUACCAUCAACUUAUUAGGAAGUGUAUGCUUGAAAUCUUUAAAUCGAAACGGGGAUGUUAGGAUAGAGAGGAAAGUAACAACUGAUGUCAAAGCGAACGUAAGGGAGAGUACAUCAGUCACGGUGAAAACCACAAAGAAUGGUUUGUUGACGAGAACAGGAACACCAGUGCUCUGAUUCGGACCUCCUGGAACCGUGUAGGCUGCAGCAAAGGCAACGGUGGCAAUGAGAACUGCUACCACAGAACAUCCUUCUGCUGUUGUCUUUAGCCAUUCUUUGGCUAAAUUGCGGAGUUCAGAAUUUGCAGUAAUGAAAUACCCUUCUGCAGUGAGCUUCAUAUUGUUCUGGUGAUUCAGGAAAUGGGAUGGAGUGACUUCUUUGACGCGCUGCGUUCUCACAUGGAUAACAAAGAGAACAUGUCUAUCAAGUUUUCUAAAAAGAAAAGAAUUAUAGAAUUAGACCAUUAAUUUUUUUUAUUUAUUUCUUCUUAUAAAUCAUACAUAAAUUACUUUUUAAGAUGAAUUAUUAUGUAAACUCACCCUACCAUAUUGCUGUAAUACGUCUACUCCAACCGCUUCAGGAUUCAAGAUUAGUAUGACAAUAAAAAAAUAUUGUGCUUCCCGUGAAUUAUGUGUAUGAUAGAUAUGCAUAGCAGGAAGGUAAAAGUCUAAAAAGUGCACCUCAAACCAGAGUAAUUCUUCCUGUAAGAGGAAUGCAGGGCCUUCCAUCUUCUCAUCAGAUAAAAAAUCCUUUCGUUUCCUUCCGACGGUGUGUAGAAUGGAAUUCCCAUCACCAUCAAUCUUCCUUGUCAGCCUCUUCAUAGGCACGUCCAUUCCUUUCACAAGCUCGAAAAUCUUCUUUUGGCGGUAUUUGAUUGCUACAUGCAAUACAUUGCGCCCUUCGUCAUCAAUGUGUUCGACUGCCUGGGGAUAUAGCUUGAGUAUUUCUUCAACAAUCUCCACACAGCCUGACUUUGUAGCCAAAAUCAAAGGAGUUUCUCCAAGACUCUCCUCUUUGUCUAGAAUUUUAUUAAACAAAUGUACUUCUUGCCGUUCUUGGCCUCCCUUUUCUCCGUACUUAUGGAUUUUAGGCUUGCUCUGGUCGAUGCUAGAAUACGUAAGCUCCCAGGAGGUAUCUUUUCUGACUAAAAACUUGGCAAGCUCCACAGCUGAUCUAUGCAGUUGUUUUUGCUUUUGAACCUUUUCCCUCCAUACUGAACUUCCAUAUGAUUUUGCUUUCAAGGAAAUAAGUUAGUCGCAAAUGGUUAGUUGCAUAUAAAUUCUGUGAUGUAAUGUAAGAAUGAGUUUAUUAUGCAGAAACAAGGCAAGUUACAUCAUGGUUGUUAAAAGGAUUGACAGAAAAAGGAGGGAAACUAUAAUAAAAAUAUCUAAGAAUGUUACAUUUUUUUUAUAUGAGAAGUGCCAUAAUCACAUUGGUUUCACUGAUUCAGUGAAAACUGGAAGGGUAGUGAUCAUACUUCCAUACCUAAAUUAAUGAAUCCUUCUUCAGGCUCUAGUUUAAAAGCUGAUGGGUUGCAUGAUAAAAGCUGAAGACCAGUCAUACCAUCGGCAUCUUUUUGGCCAAUUAAAUGCGUGUAGUCCAACGCAAUUCGGUAUGCCAAAUCUGUGGCCCAACGUAAUUUGUAUGAAAGAAAACAUUUCAGCAUCAGAAUAUCAACUUCAUAUGUUGAAACAAAAUUGACUUGCAGAUGGGGGGAAGAAAUGAAUUUAUAAUUGACAAUGCUUACCAAAAUGCAGAGAAAGAAUGGCCAUGUGAAGGAUAGUGGUUUUAUCACUUCUCUGUACAUAGAAUUGCAAACCAGAUUCAUCAUAUCCAGAGACUUUAGCAGCUAGAAAGUUGAACAUAUCAGUUUUUCCAUACCGGGCCGCACGAAAGAGAGCCGUCUCCCCAUUGUGGUUGCGCAUGCCUAAAAAUCCAGGGGCUCUCUUCAGAAGUUUAUCUGCAAUAGCAACAGUGGAAGAUUGCUUGUGGCAGUCUCAUGGAGGAUUGUGUUUCCUACACCAUUUUGGCGAGUCAACUUGUCGAGAUGAUGGCUAGGCAACGCAUCUAGUAAAUUUUCUACCAGGGAUGCUUCUUUGGCAUAUGUAGCCAUGUGAAGUACUGUAUCGUCGUUUACUGUUAUUACGUGCAAUGCAUGAUCCUGAAUUUUUUGGCAGAGUUCUGCAACUCUCUUCUUGUUUCCUUUCAUGAGAGCAUAGUACAAGUUUCCGUUUGUUUUCUGUUUACGAUCAAUUUCAUUGGUACCAGGAGACAUCAAGGGUUCCAUGUAGAAGGGUAAUUUUUUCCUUGAAAAAAAAUAAAAUAAAAAUCGCUAUGCCAAUCCUCAAUAAUAACCUUCUCCUUUAUAUCAGAAUUCUACUAUCAUUCAACAGGAUCCUGUUAAUCUUGACGAGUACACUUACAAAGUAUAAUAUUCUAGCUACCUCUCCUAUUCUAAAGCUGUAUCCAGAGCUUUUGACUUCAUGACUGCAUUUGGAUUAUCAAUCAUCUUUACUUGUGCUAAUUGGCACUUUAUUGAAUCUUGAACUUUUCCUUGAUUAUUAUUGCACAGUUAUGAUCACUAACUAGCUAUAUAGUUUUGCUUCAUGUGCUAAUUGGCACUUUAUUGAAAAUGAACCUUGCUUUAUAUAUGCCUUUAGCUGGUGCUUCUCCAUGUUUAGUGGAAUGUGGAUUGUGGAAUAACCUUUUUGUUGAUUCAUGGAAUUAAAUUCCUACUUUGUCACUAAUUCUGUUUCAUUAGUGCAGUGUCAUAAACAUUCCCAUGUUAUGCACGCCAGGCUUACAACUCAUAGUUAAUUGGGAAUAAUAUUAGCUUUGCCUAUAGUAGUAUAUUAGCAUCUAAUCCGAGGGACGAAGUCGAACUUUCUUCCCUCAGUGAAAUGCUAUCCCCAAGGCCCACAUCCUGCAGUUUGACUGAAUUGAGUGUAGAUUUAAAGGAAACUUAUUGGAGAAUUUGUUUUUUUUAAUCGUUAUAUCAAUUAUUUCAUUGCUAUUUUGAUUACUAGAAUCAAAUAAAUAUUUCAUAAUAUGAAUAUUUUUGUAAAUUUUGUAAGUUAAUUUAAAGAAUUUAAAAAGAAAAAAAAUUAUUUUUUAAAAUAAAACAUCCUUUUAAUAUAAGUUAUAUCCCCCCCCCUCUCUCUCUCUCUCUCUCUCUCUCUAUAUAUAUAUAUAUAUAUAUAUAUAUAUAUAUAUAUAUAUAUAUAUAUAAAAUGAUUGUUUCUUUUAGUAACUCCUCUGAAUAUUUAGAUUAGACCCAUCUUUUAUGAGUGGACCAAAUCUAACCCAAUAAUCAACAUUAAGUAUAAUCUAAUUAAACACAUGUAGUCAUGACACAAAUUCAGUAGCAAGAGAGCCAAAUGGUGCAGCAGAUUGGCAACAGCUAUAGCUGACUAAACAUGAUGAUCAGGCAUAAGUUGCUCACUGGAAAUCAAAAUUUUAGGCAUAAGUCAUCCUGUUUUAGUUUGCAAAAAUAGAAAGAAGAACCAGAUGCAGCACCAGGCCAGGAUCAAUUCAACUUAAAGGAGCGGCAUUGAUCAACAAUAUCACUCUGUUGGUUAUUUAAAUAUUGGUGUUGAUUUUUUUAUAUAAUAAUCGAUUGAUUUAUUAAUGAAACAACCAUUCAGAUAAUAACAGAGAGAAACACAAUGAAUUUUAAGAAAACUAAAAAAAAAAAAAAGAUUGGAAACAAAUCCAAUUACAAUAUAUUAGUAAUAAAUCUAAGCUUCAUUCUUUGCAAGCGUGUUGCUUCCAUCUACGUUUACCUGGAUCACCAACAAGGACAGUCUUCACUCAUCAUAAAUUGGUUUAAAUAUGAUUAUUGAAAUCCUUACAAUUAUCAACAACUCAAUAACGUAGAUGGAAGGUUUGGACUUGACAAUAUUAACAAUAAUACAUAUUAUCAUCCAUGUAUGGUAUUUCAUGGAAUGUGGGACUCUGAGGUUUGGACUUGACAACAUUUUAAACAUUUGGACAUCAUCGUACAAGGUUUGGAUAGAACAAGUUUAGUUAGAGGAAAGUUUUCGAGCAAAUAUUUGUAAGUUUUUGAUAGUGAGGAAUAUAGAGGAAAAUAAGAUAGGGCGAAGAUGCAAACUGGGAUAAAAGAGACUGUGUAUAGAGUAACUUUAGCCCAAUUUUCCUUAUUGUAUAUCGUCAGAAAGAUUGUUGAUCCAAAUGCUACCAUCAUCAUAGCCACGGAAAGGAACAGAAAUGUGAAGCCUGCCAUCAACUUAUUGGGAAGGGUAUGCUUGAAAUCUUUAAAUCGAAAUGGCGAUGAGAGGAUGGAGAGAAAUGUCACAACUGAUGUCAAAGCAAAGGUAAGAGAUAGUACGUCCGAGACAGUGAAAACCACAAAGAACGGUUUAUUAACGAGGACAGGAACACCGGUGCUCUGAUUUGGACCUCCUGGAACUGUGUAGGCUGCUGCAAAGGCGACUGUAGCAAUCAGAACAGCCACGACCGAAGAUCCUUCUGCAGUGCUCUUCAUCCAUUCUUUCGCUGAGCUGCGAAGUUCAGAGUUUGCAGUAAUAAACAAACACUCUGCAGAGAGGUUCUGACUGUUAUGGUGGCUUAUGAAAUGAGGUGGAGUGACUUUUUCGACUCGCUGUAUUCUCGCACACAAAAAAAAACAGACAUGUCAAUCACUGAAUUUUUCCAAAGAAAAUAAGCAUUAGACCAUUAAUAUUUUUAGUUCUUUCUUCUUUUCUACAGCAUGUGGAAAUGCAAUGCAAAUUCCUCAAGUUUGUUUCAAUUGCUUAAAGAUUCAAGAUUAGUGCAGCAUUCUAAAAAAUAUGCCUGCGUGUGAAUCAUAUGUUGAUGCUAAAAGUCUAAAAAUGCACCUCAAACCAUAGCAACUCUUCUUGUAAUAGGAAUGCAGGGCCUUCCAUCUUCUCAGAUACAAAAUCCUUUCUCUUUACACCAACAGUGUGCAGAAUAGAAUUCCCCUCGUUAUCAAUCUUUCUUACCAGUCUCUUCAUGGGCACUUCCAUUUUCGUCACAAGCUCGAAAAUCUUUAACUCUCUGUAUUUGAUUGCCACAUGCAACACAUUGCGACCUUCGUCGUCAACAUGUUCAACUGCUUGAGGGUAAAGCCUGAGUAUUUCUUCCACUAUCUCCACAAUGCCUGACUUCGUAGCCAAAAUCAAAGGAGUUUCACCAACAUCAUCCAUUCUCUCAGGAAUUCUAGCAGCCAAAGACAUCCCUUCUUGCCCACCUAUCUCUCCAUAUCUGUGUAUUUUGGGCUUGCUCUGGUCAAUGCUAGAAUAAGUAACUUCCCAUGAGGUAUCAUUUCUAGAUAAAAGCUUGGCAAGCUCUACAGCUGAUUUAUAUUUAUCCUUUUGAUUUUGAACCUUCUCCUGCCAAGCUGUACUGCAACAGGAUUUAGCUAUCCAAGGAAUAAGGCAAGUCAGCAACAUACAUACCUAACUUAGGCUCUUGAACACGACAUAAAUAAAAAUUAUCUAUAAGGAUGAAUUAUUUUGCAGAAAGAUGGAAAAUACGUGACUGUAAGAAGAUUAACCUAUGUACAACUGUACGAGAAUCUUAUUAUUUCAAGUACGAAAAAUUCAGAGAAAAAGAAGGAAAUUUGCAGCACAUUAUUCCUAUAUGAAGAUAAAGGAAGGAUUGUUCAAGUGUCAUAAUCUUGACAAGAAAGAAGUGCACUAUAGUAUUAGCUGUUCUGAAUGUGAUUAGCAAAAUGGAAGUGAGCUUGUAUACAUACCUAAUUUAAUGAAUCCAUCUUCAGGCUCUUGUUUAAAAGCUUACUGGUUGCACGAAAGAAGUUGAAGACUUGUCAUCCCAUCACCGUCUUUUUCGCUGAUUAAAUGUCUGUAGUCCAAUGCAAUUUGGUAUGCCAAAUCUGUUUUUUUCAUUAAAAAUGUACCAGAGAGAAGUUUUUGUUUUAGAGCAGCAAAAUAAAAACUUCAGCAUGCUUCAGAAUUGAGAUUUUAUUUAAUUCCACCAAACAUAACAUACAGAAGUGCCCAAGAAAUGAACUUGUGAUUUAUAAUGCUUACCGAAGUGUUCAGAAAGAAUUGCAAUGUGGAGGAUAGUGGUUUUAUCACUUCUCUGAACAUAAAAUUGCAGACCUGCUUCGUCAUAUCCAGAGACUUUAGCAGCUAGAAAGUUGAACAUAUCAGUUUUUCCGUACCGAGCUGCACGAAACAGAGCCGUCUCCCCAUUGUGGUUGCGCAUACCUAACAGUCCGGGGGCUCUCUUUAGCAGUUUAUCUGCAACAGCAAUCGCAUGGUUGCUAGUGGCAGUCUCAUGGAGAAUUGUGUUUCCCACUCGAUUUUGUCGGGUCAACUUGUCGACAUGAUGAUCAGGCAACUCAUCUAGUAAUCUUUCCACCAAGGCUGCUUCUUUAGCAUACGUAGCCAUGUGGAGAACAGUAUCAUCAUUCACUGUUAUUACGUGCAAUGCAUGAUCUGAAAUUCUUUGGCAGAGAUCUACAACAUCCUUCUUGUUGCAUGUCACUAGAGCCUUGUACAGACGUCCAUUGAUUUUCUGUUUGGUAUCAAGAACAUCAGCAUUGCAGGAACCCAUCAGUGGCUGAAACAUCCUGAAUAGGGAGGUGGCUUCUCUCUUUUUCUGUCCUUAUUAUCCUUUGAUUCUUUUGAUUUUGAAGACAAAGUAAUAUUGUUGUUCUAGCCCUCAAUAAUGAAUUGCUCUGCCCAUUUUAUGUCAAAAUCCCGCUUUUUCUACACCUAAUCUUGUCCAUAUCGGCCAAUACACAAAGUACCUAGCUUUUUAUUACAAUAAAUGUAAAUGCUGGGUCAUACUUUUCAAAGAGUAAUUGUCUUUGUGAAACAUCACUUUGAUGAUAAAAAUCUGCUUUAUCCCUUAAUCGAAUACUUUUCUUUUCUUUUCUUUUUAUAUGGAAGUCUUUGAUAGAAUUUUAGCACUGUCUUUGUCUAUCCUUUUUUUUCAUUAGUGCAAUCCCAUCCAAAAGCAGCACGUUUUGCACGUCAUGCUUUACAGCUAAUUAGGAAUAAUCUUUGCUUACAUAGUACAAAUUCUUUCUUUAAUUUCAUUACUGCAAUGGCACGUGUUGGGGAUUCUGGCUCCUCAUGCGCGGACCGGUGGUGUUCUGAUAUUUGCCCAUAGGAGGCUUAAGCACACUGGGACACAAUAUUUAACGUGGUUCGGCAAAUCGCCUACAUCCACGGGAGAAGUCAAUAUUAUCAGAGACAUAUAGAGAAAGGGUUACAACACACAUGGAGGAGGAGGAUCACUUCACUCAAACUCUACUCUCAUUGCUCUCACACUGCUGCACCCUGCCCUUGGCAGCCCCUCACUUUCUCUCUUGUUCUCUCACGUUCUCUUCUCUACACUCUCUCAUUUUGCUAUCUCACGUAUGCCUAUUUAUAGGCAAGUAUGGUGGCUGCAUUAAUGGUGCCAGCACAUGGGUUGCACCAUUUUGUCAAUGGUUGGUGCAACUACCAUUGACAAUGGCAACCCUCUCUUCUUAGGGUAGGCUGCACAUGUUGUUGCCCAAUAAAUGGUAAUAUCCCAACAAUCACCCUCUUUGACAUUUAUGUGGGGCAACUGUCCGCUUGCUUCUUCAGCAUAAGCUUGCAACUCGCAGCUCUUCCAAGCUUACCAUUCUGAGAGCGUCUUUGACCAAGUUUAUAGGUACUCGCCAAACCUUUCAAUCACCAGAGUCACCAAAGCACAUCUUUUCUCACAUAAAAGGAUCACUACAACUAGAUGGUCUGCCACUUCACAUCAGAAGAGUGUUAACGCUUGUCUCUGGGACACACUGCAUUCCCCUUCGAGCGUAUUAACCAUGCUCGGUCCGGAAUGAUUCAUCAAGCCUCACACCAAGGCUUACAACACCCCCUCAAACGGAAAUUUCUAUUUCCAAGUACGACAUUCAUUAUCUUAGUAUCUCAAUAUGAUCACGAGCUCACCACUCUUCCAAGAGUCUACUCAUCCAGGAGUUGCGCCUGCCCUCUGUUCCACCCUAGGAACCACGCCUUACUUCUCCGUGAGUCUCUCGCUCUUAGUCUCAAGAGUCCAGGUAGCUCUCCAUCUUUAACCAUGGGGGCAGCCCAUUAAAGGUUGAUCCAUAUAUGUCUUGAUACUCUGAGUAUUACAAUGCCUUCACCGAGCUCACCACCUUGACAAGAGUCAACUUGUUCCCGGAACCUGCGCAUGCCCUCUGCUCCUUCAUAGCAGCCGCAUCUUAAUGCUCCACAAGUCACCCACUUAUUGUCCAAGGAAAAUGUCUUCUAGCUCAUUAAUCUUUAGCAUGGGGGCAAUAUCCAUGAAAGUCAAUCCUGCAUUUGUCUCCAUACUCAUCAUAGCCACUUCGUUGGCUAUACACCUGUCCACUCAUAUCUAGCCAUCACAUUGGCUUUGGGGCGUUCUGAACUGGGCUCAUAUCAUGACCCACACACCUUCUCCUGAGGUGUCUCCGCUCGUCGUCAUGCGGCGGUCUGAAAUGGGGCUCCUCUAAUGGCCCUCACACCUUCUCUAAGGUGUCUUCGCCCGUUGUCAUGGGCGGUCUGAACUGGGGCUCCUAUCACGACCCUCACACACCUUCCAUCUAAGAUGUCUUCACUUUUCAUAGGUGGUCACAACCUCCUUCAGUUGAGAUGUUUCAAAGUGGCUCCAAAAUUCUCUACCACCAUGUGGACUAUGGGAGAUCACUGCCACUGAUUACAUAGAAAGAGAAAGUUGCGGUAUACUCCUCGCAAUCCUCCACCUUGAUUUCUAUGUUUAGAACUUCUGCGCCUUUCUGCUUGACAGCUCCACCUACACCAACUCUCUUUAGUGUCUUCGCCUUUCAUUAUAGGCGGUUGCCUUGUAUCACAGGCAUUUGCACCCCCUCAAUUAGGUGCUUCUACAACAGCUCUCUUUCCAUCCUUACAUGCAUUGGAAAGGUCUUCGCCUGUUGUCUUCAUCAAGAGCACAAAAGACUUUCUGUUGUACAACUUCUACAUAGUCUCUGCUCUGAGCUUCAUUUGGGAACUCUUCUUCUCCUUGUACCUGUUGUCUCAUUACAGUACCUCCUACGGGUACUCCUGCACAAUCUCCGUGUGCCCUCGUGCAAUUUCUGUUCUCCAGAUUUUUCCUUAUUCCUUGCUUAUGUUUGACAGCAGCUCAUCCUGUCACAACACAUGUCCAAGUCAAAAUAGGGUGCCAAUCUUUAUCCCCUUGCUGUAUUUCUCUUUUAUUAUCAGGGUCUUCAUCAAUUCUCCACUCGAGAAAUCACAGUCACUGAAUCUAACUUCUUUGGAGAAAUCACCACUCCAUAAACAUACGAAACCCAACUGUUCCCUUGUGCCAUCAUCCUGCUAGUCUUCAACCGUUUCAUUACAAACUGUUAUAUAUACAAAAAUAGUACCGUAUGGAUAAUCCUUCCACUAAGCAAGUUCCUAGGAAAGAUUGGAGGGGUCACACUGGUCCCGCUUAAAAUCCAAUCUCCUAGACAGAACUUCUUAGGCCAUAUCUAUCCAUCGUACUGUCUUUUCGUAUAUACCAUUUGCUAGCUUUGUUGCGGCUUUCCUUUACAAGUGAUCUGGAAUAUACUGGUUUAAUACAUGAUUUCUCAAUAUCUGGCGAGACUACCAGUGCUUAGAUUCGUCAAGAUUGGUCUUCGUCAAUUUUCACUCCACACCUCUAAUUAUCCACAUGAUCGGGUGUCCAGAGUGUCCCAAUUUUGCCUUCUUUCAAGGCAACUAAAAAAUUCCCCACUUAGCAGUUCAACACAUGUAAUUGGGUAAACAUGUGAGCCUUCUUCUUCUUCAUCACAAUCGACCACCAUAAUGACUUUCAGAUGCCUCCUAAUCGGGCAAUCUUUCUUAAUAAUUCACCAUCACCACUUUUAGUCUCACAUCUCAACGAUCGGACCGUACCAUUGCAUGUAGAACGAUCAAAUUAGCUAGAAACAAGUCUGAAAUCGUCAAAAUCGCAUUUUAGACGGCUAAGAUUUGAUCAAAAACAAUUCUGGCCUGAUGAACGGCCCAGAUUCAAUCUCAGAUCCGGUUGCACGUAGACUCCGCUACACAGAAUCGUAUCCCUCGGCUCGCGGCUCGGCUCCAACACAGCUCGGCUCAACUCGGCUAGGCUAGGCUCGCGGCUGAUGACGUGACAGGUGGGUCCCACUUUGCUGACAUGUCUACUGACUGGACGAUGACGUGUCUGCUGACUAGACGUUGACAUAGCAUGCCAACUGUGCAUGCUGGUGUCAUGCUUACGUCAUGAUGACAUCAUCCUUAUCCGGGUCUGGCACGUGGGUCGGGUCGUCUGGCAUUCGGGUCGGGUCAGCCCAUCCGGGUGAAGAAGACGCGUGUGAUGCGUGGCGCACGUCUGUGCGCGUGGCCAGCCAUCUCGCUGGCGCGUGAGGACGAUUCCGACUUCUGAUUUCGAUGCCGUUUUCACCAGUAGCUUCGUCUCUUCCUCCUCUACACAGUGGUAUGGGCAAAACAUAAUUUUGACCACUUUCUUUUUUGAGCAAAAAUCAAACACCACUUUAAACCAUGUGCUCUGAUACUAAUUGUUGGUGAUUCCGGCUCCCCAUGCGCGGACCGGUGGUGUUAUGAUAUUUUCCCAUAGAAGGCUUAAGCAAACUAGGACACAAUAUUUAACAUGGUUCGACAAAUCGCCUACAUCCACGGGAGAAGUCAAUAUUAUCAGAGACAGAUAGAGAAAGGGUUACAACACACAUGGAGGAGGAAGAUCACUUCACUCAAACUCUACUCUCAUUGCUCUCACACUGCUGCACCCUGCCCUUGGCAGCCCCUCACUUUCUCUUUUGUUCUCUCACGUUCUCUUCUCUACACUCUCUCAUUUUGCUCUCUCACGUAUGCCUAUUUAUAGACAAGUAUGGUGGCUGCAUUAAUGGUGCCAGCACAUGGGUUGCACCAUUUUGUCAAUGGUUGGUGCAACUACCAUUGACAAUGGCAACCCUCUCUUCUUAGGGUAGGCUGCACAUGUUGUUGCCCAAUAAAUGGCAAUAUCCCAACAGCGCGUUCCACGCUUAGCUUUACAUCUUGAUUUAACUAUAUUCUAUACUAUAUGCAACCCUUUUGUUCUUCAGAAUAGGGUCAGCACGUAUCAGGCUGCCAGUGUAAUUCCAGACGCAUAGCACAUAGCUGUGGUAUCGCGGAGAUAUAUGCAUGCUCAAACGCAGAAAAAUUCAAUACCAUUAGUAGUAACUGUUGAGCAGAAGUAAAAAGAUUAUUGACUUGAUAAUACGUGUACGGUUUGAAUUUCAUUCCACCUUUGAUGGAUUCUUUGCUCUUUUAAACAAAUUCACACAGCAUGCAACUUUAUGCUCUAUGAUGGAUAAUGCAGCCAAACUCAAUCAGAAUAAGAAUUAAAGAAUGAAGAAGAUAGAGUUUCAGGAAAAUGGUCCGCAACAAAAAUCCUAACUAUUCCUCAUAUCACUCAAUAAUUACAACAUAUCCACAUUUGACUAUCCAAAACCCCUUACCUCUCUACACACAUAUACUUCCCCCUUAGGCAAUACUGAUAAUUAGGAAUAAUCUUUGCUUACAUUGUACAAAUUAGGAAUAAGGAGUGUCUACAACAUAUCUUCUAAAGAUAAAACUCAAAAACUAAAGCACUUACACAGCAUGGUAUUAAUGGAAAUCGAAACAUGUACCAGUCAAUAUUGCAAAAUAUUGCACUUUUUUUUUAUUAAUCAUAUAUAGUUAUAUAGUUGGCAAUCCAUAAUGAUUGGGCUAGUUAUCAUCUAUAGUGUCAGCCAGCAACACUCACAGUGCUGGUCUUCAGGAAUACUGAUGUUGUAUAGUUAGGACUCUAUGUUGGUCUUCAGGAAUACUGAUGCUGUUAGGACUCUAGUGUUUGAAUUUGAAUUAAUCUUAUGUUAUCAUGUUGUUAGGAAAGCUUAUCAUGUGUUCUUGUUCAUUCUUCAAGGCUAUAUAUAUAUAUAUAUAUAUAUAUCCUCGUUGAGUUAAUAAGAAGACAACUUUACAAGGCAUUCUAUUGUUUAUAUGGUAUCAGAGCAUCUUUAAUUAUUAUUUUUCCCAUCAUCUUUCUCAUCAUGACUGAUCCCAACAACACCAGCCUGCCCAACCUGGUGACCAUCAAUGUCACGGCACAGGCUCCUCUCAAGCUCACCAGCUCCAAUUAUUGGUCCUGGAAGCUGCAAUUCCAAACACUUUUUAUAGGUUAUGAUCUCCAAGGGUUCGUUGAUGGAACCAAACCUUAUCCACCAUAAUAUCUCAUCACUGACAACUCAAACACUCUUAAUCCUGAAUACCAUGCAUGGAUACAUCAAGAUCAACUAAUAUUAAAUGCUCUCAUUGGAGUUAUUCACCACUCCAUCAUUCCAUUUAUUGCUGGUACGUGCUACUACAUCUCAGCAAGCUUGGACAAUUUUAGCAUCAACAUAUGCCACCCUCUCCAACAUAUGCCACCCCCUUAUGAGGCCGCAUCAAACAAGUCAAGGCCAGCUUCAAAGCCCUCAUAAAAGGCUCUCUUUCCAUCUCUGAUUUCAUUCACUCUGUUAAAGCAUGGGCUGAUGAAUAAGCAAUGUUGGGUGCCCCCGUUGAUGGUGAGGAUGUCACAUAUAAAAUUUUGGAAGAAUUGGGCGAUGAAUACAAAGAACUUGUGCGUGUUGUACAAGCCAGAGACACCUCCAUUGCCUUUGAUGAACUUCAUGAAAAACUACUCAUGUUUGAAGCCUCUCUAAAUACUUCACACAAAGCCUCCUUAUAGUUCUCUCCUACGGCCAAUGCAACAGUUAAUCGUUAUGGCUAUCGAUCUAAGACCUUUUUUGGUCGAAUAAAUUGGCAUUUUUUAUUAGGUCACCCAUCGUUACCUAUUCUCAAUGUUAUCCUUUCCAAAAAUAAGCUAAACACUUGUUCAAUGACAAAGCAAUUUUCCUGCAAUGCAUGUCAAUGUAACAAAAGUCACAAACUUCCAUUCUCAGCUUCCACUUUAGAGUCUCAUGCUCCUCUUGAAAUAAUUUUCUCCGAUGAAUGGACUGUUCCUAUGUAGUCCAUUGAUGGCUUUAAAUAUUAUAUUGUUUUUGUGGAUCAUUUUACACGUUAUACAUGGUUCUAUCCUUUGAAAUACAAAUCUGAUGUCAAGCCUACAUUCAUAUGUUUUAAAGCCAUUGUUGAAAAUUAUUUCAAGCAUAAAAUCAUUACCUUCUAUUCCGAUAAUGGAGGUGAAUUUACAGCUCUCAAAGAUUUUUUUUCAAAUACAUGACAUAUCUCAUUGUACUUCCCCACCACACACAGCUGAACAUAAUGGUAUCUCUGAACGCAAACACCGACACAUAGUGGAAACUGGUAUUUCACUUCUCACUCAUACCUCAUUACCUCAAAAUUUUUGGUCAUUUGCGUUUUUCACUGCCAUUUAUUUAAUUAAUCGGAUGCCUUCACCUUCAUUAAAAUAUUUUUCUCCAUUUGAACUUAUCUUUAAAAAAAUCUCCUAAUUAUGCUAAACUUUGCAUUUUCGGGUGCUUGUGUUAUCCAUGGCUACGUCCAUAUUUGGCUCAUAAACUAGAUGUUCGGUCCAAACCGUGCAUAUUUCUUGGAUACUCCAAAACUCAAAGUGCUUACAACUGUUUUGAUCCCCAAUCCUCCAAAUUGUUUUCUUCCCGUCAUGUUCAGUUUGUUGAGUUCACUUUUCCAUAUCCUAGUUUACUACAAUCAUAGUCUGUAUCAGACUCUUCCUCUCUACAAAUAUGGACACCUUAUAUUCUUUCUAUAGUAACACCUGCGCUUGUGCCUCCCCCGUUCAUGCCACCUGUAAUUCCACCUUCUGUAGCAUACCCUAUCAGCAGCUCCAUUACAACAGCUCCAUUACAACAGCCAACAACAGCUCUCCCACCAUGCAACCCACACAACCUUCCUCUGUUCUGCCCACCUCACCAUCCCCCAUGAUCAUUCAUCCUCCCCCUGCUGCACCUUCUCAUUUCAUGACCACCAGAUCAAAAAAUAAUAUUUACAAACCUAUUCGCAAACUACCUUCCAUACACAUCUUCCCUCAACUGAUAUUCAGGAGCCCACAUCUGUGACCAAUGCUUUAAAGGAAGAAAAAUGGCAUCAUGCCAUGCAGGAUGAGUUUAAAGCUCUCAUCCAAAAUGAAACCUGGGAUUUGGUUUCUCCUCAAUGUGCCUCUAACUUAGUCGGUUAUAAAUGGAUUUUCAGGGUAAAGCACAAUUCUGAUGGCAGUGUUUCUCGCUAUAAAGCACGCUUGGUGGCCAAAGGCUUUCACCAGCGACCGGGGCUUGACUAUAUCGAAACCUUUAGUUUGGUUGUCAAGCCAACCACAGUUCGUCUUGUUCUGUCAAUUGCAAUAAGUAAUGGGUGGAGGCUGUGACAAUUGGAUGUCAACAAUACUUUUCUUCAAAGACAUCUGCAGGAAGACGUAUACAUGGUUCAGCCGCCUGCCUUUGUAGGCAAAGAACGACCACAUUUCAUCUGCAAAUUACGUAAAGCCAUUUAUGGGCUAAAGUAAACACCACGUGCAUGGUACCAUGAACUCCGCUCCUUUCUGAUUGAUAACGGCUUCACAGAUUUAGUGAAUGAUAUGUCCUUGUUCAUUCUUAAACAUCAUGGACAUCUUCUAUAUUUAUUGGUAUAUGUGGAUGACAUUAUCAUCAUCGGUGAUGAUGAGCAUGCAGUCGACCUCCUUGUUCAAAACUUAGCCAAGCGGUUCUCACUAAAGGAUCUGGGGUCUCUAACUUAUUUCCUUGGUGUGGAAAUUCAAUCCCAUCUUCACGGGUUGGUGCUUUCUCAGCACAGAUAUAUUCAGGAUCUCUUGCAUCGUACCAACAUGAGCAACUCACGGCCUGUGGCUACUCCACUACCAUCAGGUCCUCCUCCCACUCUUGCAAUGGGUGAGUUACUCCUUGAUCCAUCUGCAUAUCAUGCCACUGUUGGAAGUCUUCAAUAUAUGUCACUUACUCAACCGGAUUUAUCUUUUGCUGUGAUCAAGUUGUCACAGUUCAUGCACAAACUGACUGAAGAACAUUGGAAACUUGUCAAACGACUACUGCGUUAUCUCUCAGGCACCAGUAACGUAGGCCUUUUUCUGUAUCAUCAAUCACCUGCACACUUGUAUGCUUUUUCAGAUGCAGAUUGGGGGGGGAAACAAGGAUGACUUCUCCUCCAUCAGUCCCUACAUUCUAUACCUUGGUCGGAAUCCUGUCUCAUGGUCAUCCAAGAAACAACAAACCAUUGCUCGAUCAUCAACGGAGGCUGAAUAUCGCUCUGUGGCUGACACAGCCUCAGAAAUCAGUUGGGUAUGUUCAUUAUUGAAUGAACUUCAAUAUUCGGUUAAUCAAGUUCUUGUGAUUUAUUGCGAUAAUAUUGGUGCAACACAACUAUGUUCAAAUCUAAUUUUUCAUUCAAGGAUGAAACAUGUGUCCAUUGAUUUCCAUUUUAUUCGCGAAAGAGUUAAGUCUGGAGUUCUUCGUGUUUGUCAUGUCCCCUCUGAUGAUCAACUCGUUGAUGCAUUGACAAAAUCUCUUCCCCGUUAUCGGUUUGAGUUACUCAAGGACAAGAUUGGACUUACUCAAGGUCGUCCAUCUUGAGGAGGGAUGUCAGCCAGCAACGUUCACAGUGCUGGUUUUCAGGAAUACUGAUGUUGUAUAGUUAGGACUCUAUGCUGGUCUUUAGGAAUACUGAUGCUAUUAGGACUUUAGUGUUUUGAAUUUGAAUUAAUCUUCUGUUAUCAGGUUGUUAGGAAAGCUUAUCCUGUGUUCUUGUUCAUUCUUUAUGGUUGUAUAUAUAUCCUCAUUGAGUUAAUAAGAAGACAACUUUCCAAGGCAUUCUAACGUUUAUAUAUAGAGUCCACCAACCAAUCAUGUACAAGGUAAAAAUAAUAAUAGUAAAUUGCAAGGCAUCACAUUUUAAUGGGCGAAAAAUGGAAGCUUGUAAGGUAGCAUUACAUGUGGAUUAAUAUUCUUGGAAUGUUGGACUCGAUGGCUUAGACCUGGCAACAUUUGAAAAAGAUUUAGAGAUCUUCAAGGGUAUGGCUAGAAAAUGUUUAGCGAGAGGAAUAUUCUCGAGCAAGCACUUGUAAUAACUUAAUUUUGGAUUCUCAAAAUUUUCUUCAAAUGUUAUUUUAUUUUUAUUAUUAUUCAUAAAAAUCCAAAAAAAAGAAAAAACUUAAAAUUCAAAAAAAUAUUUUUCUCAGGUAAACCACCCUUUUCCAUGAAAAAUGAGCCCAUCGAGUCAAACCCGUCAUUUUCAGUCAAAACCGAGUCAACUGGGUCAAUACAGGUCAAACCAUGUUGACCGGGGUGAAAAUUGAGUUUCAAGUCGUUUCGGGUCAAACCCGUCAUUUGUUAUAUAUAUAUAUAACAAAUCAAUAAUGCAUAAAUACUUAUUAUAGUCGUUGGUGCAGUUGAGGCAGGUGAAAUUUUUUUCUUCGGACAGAGCCGUGUCUUCCGGUUAUAAAUGCCCUAUGUCCCAUAGUGAAUGGCUAAUUGGCUAUAGAAAAAGGAGAGAAAAAAGAGAGAAAGUGAUGCGAAUGCUAUUAAUGGUUUUUUAGUUUUUGACUUUUUCCUUCGCUCGAGUAAGAUAUUGAUUUCUUUUCAAAACAAUUGAAAAAAUAUCAAAAAUAUUCUCACCAUUAGAUUUAAUAGUAUUUAGUUUUGGAACCUUGAUUUGAUAGAAUCUAAUAGGACUUAUCACACUAUAUUAAAACCCAAAUCUAUCUCAGCUUUUAAAAUAAUCUGCUCUUUGAUCUUGUUGUGCCACGCAACACGAUGUACCAAGCUACUGGUACAUAUCACCACACUACAACAAAGAUCAGUCCAUUAGAACCGUCCGAUCAACUUUGAGAUCAAGCCAACUGCAGCUGAAGGAUCAGUUCAUCAGUAAUUAGCGGUUCCCAAGUUUUAGGUUCACUGACUUACCAUGCGCGCAUCCGCAUCAUAGUAUAUCUCAGAAAUUCUCUCUCCUCUUGCCGGCGAUUCCCUCUCUCUACACGGAACUCCCAACUUCGGCCACCGUAAGACGCUGGCACACCAUAGAAAGGUUCCUCUCCUCCUCGCGAGCAAACCCCAAGCGUUCUUAGUUGCCUUUGACAGAUUAUCUUAUCGGAAAAGGCCGCGACUUCUUUAGCCACCCGAAGUUUCAAACUGUUGAUUCUCUCUCAUUAGCCAUCAACGACCAUCAAAACCACUGUCAUCAGAAUACUCUCCCCCAGAUCUACCAGAAUCUACCCUUUUUGGCUCGGAAUCUCGCUGAAGAAUUUCACCCCUCCAACAGUGGUCGCGCGUGUGCCAUGCGCCACCAGGGGUAUUUUUGUAAUUUUCUGAGAAGUUCAAGGGUAUUUCAGUCUUUUACCUAACAGUGGCACUUAGGUAAUUUUAGGGAUUUGUAGUGGUAUUUUAUUUAUUUUUUAUACAAGUAUUUGUAAAAUUUUCUUUGUAUUUUGUAAAAUACCCGAAAUAAAUAUAUAAAAAAAUAACGACGCGGGUCCAACACCCGUUUUAUCUCGUCAUGGUGCGCGAGUCCAAAGCUUAAUUCUCAAGUAUAGUUAUGCUUAUUUUUUAGCAAUACCAACAUAAUCUUUCUUUUUAGGAAUGUACAUUGUUUGUCGACGUCUCUUUUUUACAAAAAAUGACCGAUGUCAAAAGUUUAAAAACAAAACAUGGAUUAUGUCUAUUGUUUCUUUUUGCAACUCAAACGUAACUCUCCUUUUUAGGGUUAAUCGUCAACAUUUCAUAUGAGUCUUCUAUUUUUAGAGACUAAUGUCAUUUUUUAAUGUAUCUCCUAAUUUUAGGGACCGGCAUUAACCAUUUUUAAAAACAAAUUGCAAAUAAGUUCAAAAUAUUAUAGCAUUUGAAUAAAAUUGUCAUAACCCAUUUUUGGGUCACUCCCAAAUUUGUUUUCAUUCUCUUCAAAAAAAAAAGAGAAGAAAACAACCCGAAACAAUGUCGUUUUAGCACUGUUCUCCUUCUUCCCUGCGCAUGCAGAGGCAGGGAAGAAGAAGAUUUUAAAUCUUUGUUUCCCAAUAUUCUCUUGCUCUCUCUCUCCACCCCACUUGCCCAAAAAACCUGCAUGACCCAUACCCACGCAACCAUACCCUGCAAGCAUUAUGGAAGAAAAAUGAGACGGAGACCCAUGCCCUGCACUUGAACAGGGUAUGGCGAACCUCUCCCCCGACUGCCUAUAAAUACAGGCAAGAAAGAACAUAACAGGAGGGGGAAACCAACGACAGCUUUUGGGGGGGCAAAAUUUUAGAGAAAGAGAGAAGGGCAGUGACAGAGAGGGAAGAAACGAAACCGAAUAGAGAAGGAAAACAAAUCGGGGGUGGGGAAGAAGAUUUUGAAGACAGAUAAGAGAAACAGAGAAGGCCAGAAAUAGAGGACAACGCUGAGAAGAGAAGGAGAACUACCAGGCAAGCAGCUCCCCCAGUUCCCCUAUCGUCACCAGCACCGUGAGCUGUCAGCAGCACAGCCACGACAGAGAGAGGAGGACGUUGUUGACAGAGGCAACACACACGGACAAGAAGAACAGCAGCAGCACCACCAACGCCAUUACCAAGUCUUGGAAGUAAAAACAAAGAAGGAGAGAAAAGAGGAAGAACCACUGGCUUCUGUCCGCAUAGCUGCCACCAGCGCCACCCUAGAGCCACCGCCAGCUGCCACCAUCCUCCCCGUCAUUUAUAACAGACCUGCACCGUGAGAAACAGAAGAAGAAACACUGAAAAAAUAGAAACAGAGGAGAACAGAGCAGAAGAAAAAAACGCAGAGAAGAAGAAGAAAGGCCAACCACCGUCCAAGUCGUUCUCCGGUCAGCAACCACCAGCAGCACAGCCUCGAAGCCACCGCAGGUCCGGCCCUUUUCCUUCUUCUUCUUCUUCGCUGCACCAUCUCCACUGUUCUGCGUGAACAGUGGAGAGUGCUCCAUUGUUCAUUGGGCCAGACUUGUCUGGCCCAGCCCAAAAUGAGCGGGCCGGGUCCGGCCCGCUCCAAAAAACUUUUUCAAAAAAAAAUAUAUUUUUGAAAAUCCAUGAUUCUUCCACGUAUUUUUCUACUAAAUUUUGCUUAAUAUUGGUUUGUAUUUUUACGAUGUAAAAAUACACAUCCGGUAUUAUAAUACCCAGUUUUCAUCAAAACAUUAAAAAAACAUGUUUUUGUUUUCAUGCAUACGGCCAAAUCUCUCAAAGCUAAAAAACUCAUAUUCUAUUUUCAUACAACAAAGAAAACUUCAAAAAAAAAAUUUGUUUUAGCAUGCAUUUUGGCUUUAAUAACCAGUUUAUUAAAGUCAUGAGAAUUUGACCAAUAUUUCAAAAAAAUCCAAAAAAAUUAUUUUGUUUUCUGUUAAUAUCCGGGAUUACGAAUUUAUACAUAAAACGUACUCCUGAUAUUAAAAAGGUAGUUUUUUUUAUUUGACGCUAGAACGGUUAGGUUUUACCUCAUUUAGAUAAGAACCUCCUUAUUGAGGAGGGCUUUUCUUGAAUCUUAGACAGAUAGGACCAACAAUUAGAAAACAAGACCAAAUCUUAGAUUUUGAUUAGACAAAUAAAACAAUGCAGCUUACCUUAGGUAGGGCGUAUUUGGGGUUCUAAUACCUUUCCUUUACGCAACCAGUUUCCGUACCCGAUCUCUGAGACCAGUUAGAGUUCCUAGUGACCAGAAUACUAGGUGGCGACUCCCAUUUUUUUUUUUCAAUGAUAAAAAGACAAGAACUCCUUGUCUCCCCAUAUUUGCCAGAUACACACACAUUGAAUGUGGAGGAUGAUCGUCGUGACGCCGCACACGUGUGACAGAAUGGCGACUCCACUGGGGACCUUGUGGACUAAGCUUUGUUUUUGUCUGAUAAUUAUAUUUUAAUGUUUGGUUUGGGUGUUAUUGUUAAUAUGCAUUUCCUCAGUUUCUCAUACGCUUUAAUUUUGUACGUAUUUGUUCAUGCAUUGUAUAAAAUUAUUCCAUGCAUCAUUUACAUUUAAGGGGAAUUAUACUGGAAAAAAAAACUUUAGGUUAGGUGGGGGACUAACAGCUUACCUUACGACUUUUAGUCAAGGUUUAAAUUUGUGUAAAACUCAACUCUUCGCUGAGAGCUUAGACUGGUAAUGAUUGGUGCAUAUGUCAUCCCAUUACCUACUGAGCCCCUAUAUUGCCUUCACGAGGGUGAUCACUGGGACAUCAACAGACCAUUUUGAGACCAGGUAGAAAGCCACCCAUCAUGUAAUGGCCCAAACCUAUGCUUGCUGGCGAGAUUUCGGGUCCAGGGUCAAGUUAGGAGCUGGGAGGUUCGGGUUCGGUUGAGUCAGGAUCAGGAUCAGGCGGGUGGUUGUUGUUGUUGUUGUUGGGGUGGUGGAGGAGCUAGAGAGGGAGGAGGACACCAUCAAUAAAGAGUUCAUCAGCUGUAACAAGAUGAUUUUUUUUUAGUUUAACGUGGGUGUCCGGGUCAGUUUACGCGCACCUCGACUAAUCCCACGGGCCCUGAAGUUAACGACUAUAUAAGCCUCCAGUGGCCAUCAUAUGAGCAACCACAGGGCUCGAACCUGAGACCACAGAGGGAGCAAACAUCUUAGUCCCAAACUCUUACCACUGGGCCACCACCUAGAUGGUUAGCUGUAACAAGAUUUGUUUGAGGGAAAGAUGGGUUUUGGACCAUCUAGAACUCGAAUUCGGGUGGUGAGUUUGAAUCACUGCUUACUCUCCUUCUUCUACUGCUGCAUGGAGAGAGGAUAACUUGAGGUUCUUUAAUGGAUAUUCUUUGUGGGCUAUCCAUAUUGUUGGAUAAUGAAAGGCAGAGAGGGGAGGUUUGUUUUUGAGAGGAGAGGAAGUGUGGGGGAAGUUUCUUUGUUUUUUUGGGACUGAGCUUGGUUCAGAGUUCAGUUCAGCUUGACCCUACAAGAGCUAUAAACAAAGGAGAAUGAGUUAAUAAAAAUGAAGAUAGGAGGGCUUGGAGGUUGGGUCCCUUAUAUAUGCAACCAUGUAAUAAGAAAUUAUAAAAUUAUAAGAAAUUAUAUAUGCAACCUUUAGUUUCUACAGGAACACUUGCAUAGUAUAUUCUCAGUGUCAUUAAACUUAGCUGGGAAGACUUAGGUAAUGUUUGUUUGAGUGUUUAUAAAGUAUUUUUGAAAAAAAUUAUUUUUUAUUUUUUUGCUUUAAUUUAAUAUUUUUUGGUAUCUUUAUAUCAUUUUAAUGUGUUGAUGUUAAAAAUAAUUUUUAAAAAAUAAAAAAUAUAUAUUAUUUUGAUAUAUUUCCAAGUGAAAAGUACUUUGAAAAGCAAUCACUAUCACAUUUUUAAAUAUUUAAAAAAUAAAAAAUAUAUAUUAUUUUGAUAUAUUUCCAAGCGAAAAACACUUUGAAAAGCAAUUACUAUCAUAUUUUCAAAUAUCUUCUUAGUUGACUUGGGGUUUGACCAAAUUUGGAUUUGGAAUAACUAGAUAGGAGUCGACACUGGUUAAAUUUGAGAGACUCAGCAAAUCAACCUACAAUCCGAUUCAUCUGAUAAAAAUAUAAUCAAAACAAAGGUUAAUUUUAAAAAAAAGUUAAAAAAAUAUCAUUUUAAGGUUUGUAGCAGCCGAACCUCCAAGCUGGCUUUCUAUGGAGAUUUGUAAGGGUCCCUGUUUUGGAAGUAAUUACGUGAUGAUGAUCAUCAAGUGCUCUGUAGAAAGACAAUUCAGCGGACACCGUGGCAGUAAUGGGAGUCAGAAUGGGACCCACUUUGUUUCAGAAAAAUCUUGACCAUCCAAUCGACUGAAGUCUAAAGGGGAAGUAUAAGACCUACGGCUCGAAACACCCAUGGGGUUUGAAUUCAAAUCCUAAAGACCUGGCAGCUGAUGAUUCGUGCAUCCAUCUUAGUUAAAGUUUUAAAUUAAAUUUAGUGACAUUAACGUUAAAAUAUAAUUUAACUUACAGAAAAUAAUAUUAUUUAUUUUAAAAAAAAUUCUUCAAAUAAUAUAUUUUUUACAAAUUCGAGUUAAUUUAGUUGUUUGGAGUGUGGUUGUGAUUGCUUUUUAAAAUGUUCUUCGUGCCAAAAUGCAUUAAAAUGAUGUUUUUAAUUUUUAAAAAAAUAUUUUUGAAAUCAGCGAAUCAAAAAAAUUUAAAAUAUUAAAAAAAUUAAUUUUUAAUAAAAAAAAUUUAAUUCUUUUAAAAACACGGGUAUAAUCACCUUUCCAAACGCUCUUUUAUAUUGUCUUAUUCAAUAACUUGCGCAAUACUUGGAUAAAUCUUGAUACUAACCCGACUCUUUUAUCAUUUUAGUGCCUAUUGGAAAAAAAAAAUUGAUACUAUUAAUCCCUCAAUCCAUAUGAACUGACCGAUCAUAAUUUAAUAACAUGGGAAGACUCUUAAAGUUAGAAAAACAUAUAAUAUUUCUCAUAAAUAUAUUGAUAAAUCAUCUUAAAUUUUGUUCGAUCAAAGAUGAAUUCAUUCUUAAUAUAAAAGUUUGAGGAAUGUUGUUCUUGAUAGUUAAAUAAAUAACACUUGGAUAAUGAUUAAAUUUUUAAAAAAUUUUAUUCAAUGAAUAGAAUAUCAAGAUAAUAGAAACUUGAUUUGUAAAUACUCUCUGGGUACUACAAUACAACCCAAGUAGCAUGCAAUGCAUUAUUUCCCAAUAAAACAAAAAUAUAACUCCGUUGUUUUUUGAUGGAUAUUAAAAUAAUGCUGGGAAGUUUUUUUCUGUUAUUUUUUAAAGUAUUUUUAAUUUAUUCGAAAAUAUUUUAAAAUAAUAUAUUUUUUUAAUUUUUUUAAAAUUAUUUUUUAUAUUAGUGCAUUAAAAUAAUUUAAAAACAUAAAAAAUAUUAAUUUAAAAUAAAAUAAAAAUAAAAAAAUUAAAAAUUUUUUAAAAUAUUUUUAAUACAAAAAAAAAACGAGAACCGUACCUUAUUUCUAAUAAUCUCGGAUAGGCCUUGGCCAUACAAUUAAGUAGACACCACUCUCUCAACUUCACUUCUUCCCAAGAAAAAGAAUCUAAAAGUCUUAGCUUCAAGAUUACGCAUCAAUUAAAUACACUAUGUCAAGAUGCUUGCCACCCACCAACGUACAGUAGUCCUUCAUGAAGUUCUCGAUUGGUUUAGAUAAUUGCAUGAGCCAUUGUCUCAUAUUAUUCAUCUUUGUUCGCAUAGAAACCUCCAGCAUACUACAUGUGAUGCAUUGCGAAAUGGACAAAUUCUUACAAUCUUGAUUUCUCCCACAAGAACAUCAACUAUAUAUGCAUCAAGAUAUAUAGUUUUGAAAGUGAGUGAAGCCUUCAUGUCAAAUGCUCAAGUGCACAUAUUAUAGCUGAUUAUAUCAUAUGAUCUCUUAUCUUUACAAUAAUGCACAUCGAUCUAGCUAAGGACUAGUGAGCAUGACAGCGAUUCAUGCAUGGCAAGAUGGGUUCCACAAGAUAUCAACUAAGGAUUUGAACCAUGUGAUGGACAUAUAUAAAAUUAAGUCAAAUGUAUAAAAAUAUAAUCCUUCACACGGUUGCCAUCAUGAAAAUAUUGCUAAAAAUCGAAGAAAGAAAGAAAGAAAAGGGGUGUGUAAGGUGACAACGUGAGUGGACCCCUAGGGAUGAUGGGCUAAGUGCUUGGCUUGUGAGCUUGUAGGAGUGACGGUGAGCUGGUGGGACACUUGGAAUCUAACAAGCAAGGACGAUCAGAGAAGAGAAGAGAUGUUUGCAUGGUAGAUACGGGCUUAAUUUUUAUGUGUUGUUGAUGAAAUUUGUUUGUAGGGAAAAUGAUCAGUCAUGUGCAUGCAAAAACAAACAUUAUUUCGUCAACCCUUUUGGGUCCCAUUCACACUCGCACAGCAUACCCCUUCACUCAUUCUUCCAUCUUGACAGCAACUGCCCCCUGGCUUUUUGAAGGUAGCUGUUGUUUUAGCCUGUAAACUGUAAUGCCUUAUUGGCCUAAUCAAUGAUCAUCUGCUCACUGGUUUCCAUUCAAGUUUUAGUUAUGACUACCAAUCAAUUAAUUCCUGUUAUCACCAAUAGUUCUCGGUUUAAGUUUGGCAAGUUAAUACACUUGAGGGUCUAGCUGCUGUGGUCAACCGUGUGACUUGUUCCGUCCCCGUCCCGGGUUCGAACCCUCUAUGUGUACGCCUGUAACCCCCGCGGUGCCUUACCUGCUCCUGGGCUUGCAGGGUGUCCAGUGGGCCGUGGGGAAUAGUUGUGGUGCGCGCAAGCUGGCCCGGACACCCCACGUUAAUCAAAAAAAAAAAAAAAAAAGAAGUUUGGCAAGUUAAUUAAAGGAUGUUAUUUUCGAAAUCGAGUUUUCACCGAGUUUAUCAGCAGCUACCGUCUGUUUUCUUGAAACACAACCUGGACGAGGUCCCAAAUCAACUUGUCUAGUAGGAUUAAGUUUAAUAACAAUGAUGGUUAAAUUAUAUUUAUGUGACUGUUGGAUCGGAUGUGAUCAAGAUAAACGGUGCAGAAAUCACUGUAUCUGUUUCUGAACGGGCAGUGCCGGAAGCAUUGAGGAAGAUGCUGUGUGGAAAAUGCCAAAGGGAUGCGUAAGAUCAAGAAUGUACUUAAUGUUGGAAAAACAAGAAAGGGUUAUUGGAGAUGACUUUCCAAGUAUUGGCAGUGAGUGAGUCUGUCUUGGUCUUUGUAUUAUUGUAUGUUUGAUUAUUGAGGAGGAUGCAGUUAGUGCCUAAUCACUGCCUCUCAAAAGUGCAUUUCAAAAACCUACAAAAAGAGAGACUGCACCAUGUGGGCUUGUGGCCAUUUGGUACGAAAUUUCUUGACACUCUGUUCAACCAUCAAGAACUUGGAAAAGAAAAAAAGGAUAUUGUUUUUCUUUUUUAUUUUAAUGUCAAGUCUAAUAUCUGCCAGCUUUAUAGCAUCAAUACCAGUCUCUUUUUCAGGGUGGGUUUAUUUCGCAUAAAUAUUUCUAAAACAAAAUCACAUAUAUGAAGUUUUUUUUAGAAAGUUUGGUUAGUAACAAAGUAAAAAAUACAAUAGAUUAGGUUGGAAAAACCUUAAACUGAGUUAGGGUUUUUCAAAGUUGGCCUUGUGUGUUUUUGAGAAUUUUUUUUAAAAUUUUUGUUUAGUAUUGUGGUGUGAUCUGUGUUUUACCUCAAUUAUAAAUUUUAAAAUAUUUUAAUAAUUAAUACAUAUAUAGUUUUGCAUGGGUCCAUUAAAAACUUUCUUUUAAAACUUUGAUUGAGAAAAACUAUAAUUUUAAUCAACACAUGAACUUCUGCAAAACAAAUUCUCUAUUAUAAUAUAAAAUUCUCUAUUGCUUGAGUUAGUUAAUUAUAAAUAAAUAAUGUAUAAUAAAGAUAUGUUGUGAUUAUUAUGUAUAAUUAUAUUUGAUAUGAUCUUAUGUUACUUAUUGACUCGAGAUAUUUAUACACCUCAUCAUAUUAAAUUACCUUGUAGAACAUGGAUUUUUUUAUUUACGGUGGCCAUAAAGAUGAUGGUAAAAGUUGUGAUGAGGAGAUAAUGUUUAUUAAAAUUGUUAAAUGGUAUUAUAAAUAAAUUAUUAUUUAUAAAAUUUUUAUAGUUGAAAAUAUUUUUAAUAUAUAAAUUAAAUUUAAAAACUAAUGAUGAAACAUUUAGGUUAAUAAGUUUUCUAAUAGAAUAUUUUUUUUAAAAAAAACAAACAUAUGAAAAAUCAGAAAAAUAUUUGUCUAUAUAAUAUUUUAAACAAAUCAAAUCUCUUAUUAAUUUGGUAACAUGUCAUCUUCAUCGAUGUACUCUGAAAAGCUUGCUUUGAUUGUUGUCAAGUCGUAGACUUAACGUGACAAGUUGAUGAAAGAUACAACACAUACUUAUAUAGACAAUAGGUAGGCCAAAAAAGCUUGUAGAUGUUGAAAUGGCCUCCAAUCCCUGCACUCCCCCGUCCAUGGUAAAAAGAAGAAGAAGCAGAAAAGUCGAUAAGAUAGAACCUUAAAAGACUGGAAUGGAAGGAAAUAUUUCGUAUUUUAUAUAGCAUCAGGACAAAAAAAAAAAAAAACUUUUACCUUAUUUAAUUAGCACAUUCUCAAUCCAACUAUUCUUGAUAACAAUUUGUUCAAUCGCCUACUUUGUGUUGUGUAAUUCUUGUCAAGAAUCCUUUUUUUAUAACAAAAAUGUUUUCAAACUUGUUUUAACUCAUGAUGUUGUUUAUGGUCUCGAUUGUAAGCUAUACAAGUUAAUUUUAAUUAAUUUAAAAUGAAAUUAUAUUAUAUAUUUUUAUAAAAAUAUAAAAUGAUAUUAUUUUAAUAUUUUUUAAAUUAAAUUGAAUUUUAAUUAGAUUGAUUGGAUCACUGAUCCAUUAAAUCAACUAUAUCUAAAUAAAUUAAUUUUUGUUUAAUUUAAUUUAAAACUCAGUUAAAAUUAGAUUCUAAAAGGGUGAAUCACCGAUGAGUUUAAUAGCAAUGUUUUAUUUUUAUGAAAAAAAAAAGAAUUGUCGUUAAUAAUUAUUAAUUAAAAAUCAACAAUUUACCGUGUUGUGAACAAAUACCUUGAUUUCACUCAAAUCAAGUGAGCUGCUGUUGUGAAGUCAACUACUAAACGAAAGAAACGACCGUAUUUUUUGUUUAUGCCGUCUCAAAAUAUGACCCAACUCAGCGCAAUAAUGCAAGAUGUACAAAAGGAAAUAAUAAUAAUAAUAAUAAUAAUUGUGGCAUUGGAAAACCUCAUGGCAGGCAGAGAGUCAGAGACAGCAUGAUCCUUGAUUCUAUAAUGACAAAAAACACUUUGACAUCUGAAUAAUGAUGUGCUAGAAAAAAGCAUAAGAGGGUCUAUUUGCCUUGAAUUAUUGUAUGUGGCCCUUUAUAAAUCCUCAAACAUUUGUAAUUUAACCUUAACAAGUAGAUCCCAUGAUUCCUCCCUUCUCGCCUUAUAUUCAAGUUCUAAGAUCAAUACUAAAAAAAUAUGUAUAUGUUUUUUAAUUCACUAAACAGAUAUAAAAGUGUGUUAUUGAGUUUAUUUGAAAAUACAAUUAGCCUCGAUUGAUGGACAAAAUGAUAUAGAAAUAUAUUUAUUGAUCGUUAAGAAAAUAUAUAUUUUUAUUUUAUAAAUUUAUUUAUUUUUAAAUAAAGUAGAUGAUAGCUAAGAGGUAUGCUUUCUUCGUAAUUACUAGUUCGACUCUCUGCUCACCAAUAAUGAUAAACACAGAAUAUUUUUAAAUUAUGAAAUUUUAUUUAAAUUAUGAAAUUUUAUUUUGAUUCUUCGUUCUUUAUGUGAAGAAAUCAUUUCAAGCUAUAAUCUAUUAUCUGCAAUCUUUCAUGAUUUAAUAUAGAUGUGCUUCUUUUCGUUGGCCACACCAUAUUUAUAAUUGAUUGUCAUGGAUUCAGUCAUAAUUUCCAGCUGGUUAAACAAUGAUAACAAUACUUUAAAUUUGUAAUUACAAAAAAAGAGAGGAUGGUGAAUUUUAUAUGUUUUUUUUUUAGAUUAACAUGGGUGUCUGGACCAGUUUGCACGUAUAUUAACUAAUUUCAUGGGCUCUGAAGUUAACGAUCAUGUAAACCUCUAGUGGCUUCGAAGUUUGUGGAACUCAAACUAGUAAUCUCUAGGGAAUAAAUUCAGAACCAAACCAGUUCAACUACACUUCCAAGGAGUUGUGAAUUUCAUAUGUUGAUUUGCUUAUCAUAUCACUUUUGAUUCUUUAUAUAUAUAUAUAUAUAUAUAUAUCUUAGAUAAAAUAGCAAUAGGGAUCUUGAAGCCCUAAAAUAUUAAAAUCUUUAUAAAACUAUGCCUUUAAAAUUUCUUAAUUAUAUUUUAGCCUAUCUAAUUAUUAGAUAAAAAAAUAUAAUUAUUUUUGUUAUAAUAAUCAUUUAACUGUCAUCCUUAAAUUUUUGAGUUUGAACUUUAUAACAAGUAUUCAAUAUAAUUUACUUUUUUAGGCCAAUAUCAUCUAUACAAAAACUAAUCUGAAUUAAUACACAAACCCACUUAAAUAAUACAUAUACAUAUAAUAAGAAAAACAUUAGAGUCAAUAUUUAAUGUUAAAGUGUGUUUAUUAUUGUGAUAAUUUUUGUAAUUAUGAUUUAAAAAAAACCAAGUUUAAAAAAAUUACAAAUUAUAAUUUUUUUUAACCAACAUCUAAGAAUUUUUAGUGGAUCAAUGCAAAUAAGAGAUUAAACUUGUUGUUGGUAAAAAACAUAACCCUAAUCACAAUACAAAAUAGAACCUUAAUGACUUUUCCAAAAAAAAACAAAAAAAGUACUAAAAAAAAUUCCAUCAUUUAAAGAGACAAUAGUGGAUAUGUUCUGCAUUUAAAUGGUUGCUACAACUGGAGAAAUUAUUGCUGUUACAACCAUAACUUAAACGCGUUUCCCAAAAACAAUUGUUUUUUUUUUCUUAAUCUAAUUUAAUGGAGGUUGGAAGAACAAUAACUCAGGCAGGUAAGAAGGUGGUGUUGGAGAAGGUAAAAUCAUACCACCAUUAAUAACCUCUGGCUCCGAUGCCCGGAGCAUGGAGUCACUAUGACGACUGGAAUUUGGGUGGACCCAUGCACCAGUGUCAUGGCUUUAUGCCUCGAGCUCACGGUGGCCAUUGACGAAGGUGAAGCUAAAACAAAAGCCAUGAUUAUUGGACAUCGGUAAUGGUGAUGACUAUGUGGUUGGACCAUGUGGCUCAUAGCACUAGACCUUGGGUUUCACUUCACUACUUUUCUCUCUCUCUCUCGAUUAUCACACUCUUUGACUUUGGUUUUGCUUAUGGUUCUUGUCAUUGUAUAAAAAGGAGUUCUUUUACUCCUAUUAUCACUAUCCCAUGAACGUGUAUAUUCUUCCCUGAACCCAUGAGCUUAUGUACUUCCUUUUUAUGGAGUAUUUUUGUACUCUAGUCCAAUAAAAUAAUUUAAAAAUAAUAUAGUUUGGAAAAUAUUUAAAAAAGUAGCAUAUAAAUAAAAAAAAGUUGGACGAAAGUAUUAUUAGUGACUUUCUCAUAUUAUAGAACGGUCUGACAUAAUUUAUAAUAAAAAAAGACGAUAAAUAAGGAAGGAAAAAAUAAAAAAAAAAUCCAAUAAUAAUACUAGCUUUUAAAAAAAACUUGAUAAGAUAAAUUUAAUAAUAUAAAAAAUAUUAUCUACAGUAAAUGAAGUAAGUCAUAUAAACUUUCAAAAAUAAUGAGAUUCACUUGCUUUUAAACAAUUGAUGUGAUCCACUCUAAUUAUCUUUAAUGAUAUAUUUUGGUGUUGUUAAAUUUAUUUUUGAUAAUAUUACUAUUAUUAUCAUUGAAGUUUUGAUGGGUUUUCAAAAUCUUUCUUUUUUUCUUUCUUUUCUUUGUAAAUUAUGCCAAAACCUGCAAUUCUUUAAAUAUUAUUUUAAAAAAUAUUUUUUGUACAAGGUUAUUUUUUAAUAUGCUUAAAUAAAAAAAAAAAAAACUCUCCUUUUUGGGUGGUUAUGAUGUGAUGCUUGUCCAGCACUAUUGUUAUUCUAUUAUUGAAUGGCCUUUCACAAUGAUGUAAAGAAAACCGAAAUUGUGACUAUUCUCACAUGCAAAGGAACGUUUCUUGCACCUUCCGAAGUGAAUUCCCUCAAUUAUUGCUCGAGACAAGGCACCAGGUAUAUAUGAGCUAUGGUGCUUGACUGCUUGGCGUGUACGUACGUAUUAGAACAGAGAAGAGAUAGUGCUCCACUAUUAAGCUAAGUCUAUAAACUAAGAUCAUUUUCAUCAUAUGUGUGCUAUCAAGGACAGCUUUUUUUUUCCUAAAGAACUUCAUAUCGAUGCAAGUACCUUUUCUUCUUCUUCUUCUUUUUUUUACCAUACUACUGCCAGCAGCAAAUCAAUAUUAUUUUUAAAAAAAAAUAUUAAAAAUAUCUGGCAGCUGUGUCAGACCUGCGUCUGGAUCUGGCAUGACUCAAGUAUCUAGAUUUAAUAACCAUAUCAGACUUAUGUGUUUUUUUUAUAUAAAAAAAUAUAAAAAUUCACUUAUAAUUAUUCUAAAAAUAUAUUUAUUUUGUUUUUUUAUUUUUGUUUUUUUAACCAAAUAUAUUUUUAUUCUAAAGACAACUUUUUUGUAUUUUAUAAGGCUAAAAAUACUAUUUGCUUGUACUUGAAAAUUAAAAAAAAAACUGAAUACCCUUGUGGAAAAAAGUCAAAGAACAUUUAUCCGCUCAAAAAAAAAAGAAAAAAAAUUUAAAAUAGAACUCCUAUUACAAGACGUUGAAACUGAAUUAGAAAAUACCAAAUUGCACCCUAGAAGAUCAUGUUAUACAAAAAUGAAGCCAUAAAAAAGAAAGUUGAUUUCUAUAGAAGAAUAAAUAAAAAGGAAACGGCGGUUAAAGAAGCAGGUCAAGAUCCAUAAAGGUGAGACAUGUACAUGAGAUUUUCCAGUAACGUGUAAAGAGGAUAUUGAAAAGCCAAACAAACAAAGCAACAAUACAUGGAGCUUUUAGACAAGAAAUCAUAAAAAUUGUAUAUAAUAAUAAUAAUAAUAAUAAUUAAAAAAAGGCAAAGAAAAUUUUCUGUUUGAAAUCAAAUCCUUUUCGGGAUCCUUUCUUUUUGUUUGAUAGAUGAAAAAAAAAGUGCUUACAAUCCCUUUUGGCUUGUAUGAAAAAGAUUCGCUUCCUAUAUUUAAAGAACAUAUUUUUAAAAUCAUCCACAAUACUUAUAUGAAUUGACUCCAACAGUAACCCUAACCAUCUAAUCCAAAAAGAAAAAAAGAAAAGUAAAAACCCUUUCUAUGGACUCAAAUUCAUUACUAUUGAAAAGAAAGAAACCAGCAGUUGGUUACAAGUAGGACCAAUAUCAUCUAAAUAGAAUUGCAUUUCCUGUCAAUUUAAGUUGAUAAAGUACAUGGAGUCAUGGAUGAAGAUGAACAUAACAUUUGCAUAAAAUCAAUCCUGCCAUGAUAAAUGUUCUUGGAACAUAUGUUCAUGUCAGCUUAUCUUUUGCCACAAUUGCAAGGACUUGAUCUUAAAUGCAUGUAUUUCUUCAAUGACAACCAUGAUCGUGAAGAUGGGGGCCAAAAGAUUCACUACUAUUUUGGCGAAGCCAAAAAAUUGUUCACUUUUAUGAAAGGAACCAGAAGGUUCAAACGCGCAAGUUCAAUUGAUGGAUGUAGAACUGAGUUUCCCAACCAAAAAAAAGAUCUCAUGCCUGUCCCAAGAACUUUGCAGCUCUCUGAAGAGCUCUGAAGAGCAUAAAUUUGCACACCUAUCAAUACACCUAAGCAUCAGCUCCCAAUUCCAAUAGUAAAGUGUGGCUAAUGGCAUCUGAUCCUGGGCCCAUGAAUUGGAUGGGACCUGAGAUUGAAUCAAUAGAGUUAAAACACAAUAGAUAAUCUUGGAGUGCAUGUUUUACAAAGAACUUGGUGUAAUAGAACUGGUAUCAUGUAAGCAAGCCAAUUAAAGGCUACUGCUUGAUAAAUUUAUG
rnacentral:lncRNA from 1 species